ACACAUCUCAAGGCUGCUUAGAUGUAGCCUCAUACUUCAACAAGCUCAAAGGCUUGCGGGAUGAAUUGGGCAUAAUGUGCACAAAUCAUGGGCAGAGAUGUGGUGUGCUGCUAAAACUGGAAUAAUUGAGGAAGAUGAUGAAAACAAGGUAUUCCAGUUUCUUAUGGGGCUAAAUGAAGCAUACAUUGGGGUUAGGAGUAAUCUGUUGAUGAUGCAGCCAUUUUCUUCCCUUGACAGUGUUUACAAUAUGGUGCUUAAUGAUGAGAAACAGAGACAAGUUCAAUCUAUUUCUCAAAUCAGUCCAGACUCUAUGUCUUUUAAUGCUAAUGCAAAUAAGCACUCAGUUGGGUUUAAUCAGGCCACAGUACCUAGUCCCCCUAUUUUCAGACCCAGAGUUCAUUUUGAGCAAAGCAGAUGGCCCUUAUUUUGCAGAUACUGCAAGAAAUUUGGGCACUUAAUUGAUAAGUGCUACAAGAUCCAUGGGUUUCCUCAAAACAUAAAAUACGACAAGGGAAGGAAAUUAGCAGCUGCUCAUGUCUCCACUGGUGAGGAAAGUGUGUAUGUUAAUCAUGGGAAUCCUAAUAUGUCUGUUCCUCAUGGGGAUCCUCCUGCUAGCCAUCACCAUGUUACACACAUAGAUGGUCACAACUCUGUGAUACCAGGGUUGAGCAGACACCAAUAUGAUCAAUUGAUGAGCUUGUUGCAACAGACCAAGUUAGGGGAUUCUAGUGAUCAAGCUCCUCCUCCCAUGUGUGCUGCUAAUUUUGCUGGUAUUAUGUUGGCUGAUAGUCUUGUUUCUGAUUCCAAAUUAUGCAUGCUUACACACAUUAAUUCUGUCACCUGGAUCAUAGAUUCAAGGGCAUCUAAUCAUAUGACUCAUGAUAAAAACCACCUGGAUCAUAGAUUCAGGGGCAUCUAAUCAUAUAAUAUAUGAUAAAAACCUACUCUUUAACAUCAUAGCUUUGACUGUUCCUUAUCUUGUAACUUUGCCUAAUGGUUACAAAGUGAAAGUAAAUUGUACAGGUUCUUUUGCAUUAACUUCUUCGCUUACUCUUCACAAUGUGCUUCUGGUUCCUUCCUUUAAACACAACUUAAUUUCUGUUCACAAGUUGGUUAAACAAUUGCACUGUAUAGUUUUGUUUACUCCAACUUCAUGUUUACUUCACAUGAUACAGGACCCUUCUCUGAAGAGGCCUCUGGAUCUUGGUAAAGAGGAAGCUGGCUUAUACAAACUGUCUUGGGUGCCACCUUCCCCUUCUCCCUCUCCUGGUUCUCCUUUUACUUCUGUGUG
rnacentral:lncRNA from 1 species